rnacentral:rRNA from 1 species
GUCCACGCCGUAAACGAUGGGCACUAGGUGUCGGGGGUAUCCACUCCCUCGGUGCCGCCGCUAACUCAUUAAGUGUCCCGCCUGGGAAGUACGGUCGCAAGAUUAAAACUCAAAGGAAUUGACGGGGGCCCGCACAAGCGGUGGAGCAUGUGGUUCAAUUCGAUGCAACGCGAAGAACCUUACCUGGGUUUGACAUCUGCCGAAGGCGCUUGAAAGAGCGUCGUGCCCGCAAGGGAACGGCAAGACAGGUGCUGCAUGGCUGUCGU